rnacentral:rRNA from 1 species
UACGUAGGGGGCUAGCGUUGUCCGGAUUUAUUGGGCGUAAAGAGCGUGUAGGCGGCCAGGUAGGUCUGCUGUGAAAACUCGAGGCUCAACCUCGAGACGUCGGCGGAAACCAUCUGGCUAGAGUCCGGAAGAGGAGAGUGGAAUUCCUGGUGUAGCGGUGAAAUGCGCAGAUAUCAGGAAGAACACCCGUGGCUAAGGCGGCUCUCUAGUACGGUACUGACGCUCAGGCACGAAAGCGUGGGGAGCAAACAGG